GACGACCGCUGGCGGCGUGCUUACCACAUGCAAGUCGUACGAUGAAGCUGGAGCUUGCUCCGGUGGAUUAGUUGCGAACGGGUGAGUAACACGUGAGCAAUCUGCCCUUCACUCUGGAAUAACUGCGGGAAACUGUAGCUAAUACCGGAUACGAGGCGCGAAGGCAUCUUCGGGUCUGGAAAGAAUUUCGGUCAAGGAUGAGCUCGCGGCCUAUCCGCUUGUUGGUGAGGGAAUGGCUCACCAAGGCGACGACGGGUAGCCGGCGUGAUAGGGUGACCGGCGACACUGGGACUGAGACACGGCCCAGACUCCUACGGGAGGCAGCAGUAGAGAAUGUUGCACAAUGGGCGAAAGCCUGAUGCAGCAACGCCGCGUGAGGGAUGAAGGCCUUCGGGUUGUAAACCUCUUUUAGCAGGGAAGAAGCGAAAGUGACGGUACCUGCAGAAAAAGCACCGGCUAACUACGUGCCAGCCGCCGCCGUAA
rnacentral:rRNA from 1 species